rnacentral:rRNA from 1 species
AAAAUGAGAGUUUGAUCCUGGCUCAGGACGAACGCUGGCGGCGUGCCUAAUACAUGCAAGUCGAG